ACCCGCCGAACUUAAGCAUAUCACUAGGC
rnacentral:rRNA from 1 species